AAAUUGAAGAGUUUGAUCAUGGCUCAGAUUGAACGCUGGCGGCAGGCCUAACACAUGCAAGUCGAACGGUAACAGAAAGAAGCUUGCUUCUUUGCUGACGAGUGGCGGACGGGUGAGUAAUGUCUGGG
rnacentral:rRNA from 1 species